CCUACGGGAGGCUGCAGUGGGGAAUAUUGGACAAUGGGGGGAACCCUGAUCCAGCCAUGCCGCGUGUGUGAAGAAGGUCCUCGGGUUGUAAAGCACUUUCAGUGAGGAAGAACGCCUGGUGGUUAAUACCCAUCAGGAAAGACAUCACUCACAGAAGAAGCACCGGCUAACUCCGUGCCAGCAGCCGCGGUAAUACGGAGGGUGCGAGCGUUAAUCGGAAUUACUGGGCGUAAAGCGCGCGUAGGUGGCUUGAUAAGCCGGUUGUGAAAGCCCCGGGCUCAACCUGGGAACGGCAUCCGGAACUGUCAAGCUAGAGUGCAGGAGAGGAAGGUAGAAUUCCCGGUGUAGCGGUGAAAUGCGUAGAGAUCGGGAGGAAUACCAGUGGCGAAGGCGGCCUUCUGGACUGACACUGACACUGAGGUGCGAAAGCGUGGGUAGCAAACAGGAUUAGAUACCCGGGUAGUC
rnacentral:rRNA from 1 species